rnacentral:lncRNA from 1 species
CCCAACUACCAUUAGGUACACAGUACGCGUACAACAAAGCGAACAUGGCAUCAUGAUACGGCCGCUUAUUUAGUUCAUACGCCCAUUUCAAGGCAGUAUAUGCGAGGAUGUCGCACCCGCUGCAGCCAUUACUAGUAGUACACCUACGAUUUUACUCUGCAGCUAUGGGGCCGGGGGUCCACAACCUUUAGGCUUCCCGCACGGGAUAGGAAGUGGGCUGUGUUGAAGAUUGCCGUGGGGAGAAGGAGGCCCCAAGGGGCCCGUACGAUAUGGGACGGCUUGCGUGGCAUCCACAGGCGUCUGGCCACCAGUUC